ensembl:lncRNA novel transcript
GAGUAGCUGGGACUACAAGCGUGUGCCACCACGCCUGGGAUAUUCCACUAUAAAGGUAAAACUUAUAAAAACAGAAAACCUAAAAAGGAGAAAUCAGAAAGAAGGUUUGGAAGUGCUAUGGUUUUAGAAGCCUUAUGAUCAGCUAUUCCUAUCCAGACUGUGGCAAAAGAGUCCUUGAAUUCCUGUCUAUUGAUAAUUGAUGGGCAAUUAGGCUUGUUCCAAAUUCACUCUUGCAACUUCGUGUGUGCAUCAUGCUAAUGCCUAUAUGUUUAUUCCUGCUACCUCCAAUAGUUCACUGAUAAUUCAGAUUCAGACCAAUGGAGAAACCAUGGGAGGAAAAAAACAAACUUUUACUCUGAUUUCCCUUGGAAUCCAGUCACCAUGCUGUGAGGAAAUCAAAGCCAAAGGGAAGUUUCACAUGAAGAGCAAUCAAGUCGUUUAGCCCUCAGCCUGAUGACCACCCUACUGACUGCUGCCCGUAGAUUAUAUUGCCACCAUGGAAGAGGAGGAGCUGGAAGGAGAUUCUGAAGCCUUGGGACAAAGCUGGUGCUGCGGCAGUCAGAGCAGAGAGACAGAAUGAUGCCACUGAUUGCUGUGCUUUUGGAGACUGUUCUACUUCUGAAUUUCCAAUUCAGUGAAAUAAUGCCUGUCCUCAUUUAUUAGCCUUUUAGAGCUCUGCUGCUGUCCUGUCCAUAAGGUUAUUUGUUGGUAAAAUAUUAAACUACAGGAAACAUAACAGCCUCAGAAAAGCAUGACUCAACAUGAGCCUGGGACAACUCAGGGUCUCUCUACUGUGCACAGCAUUUGUUCUGCUUUCAAGGCUCCCCACAGCAUCUGAAGCUUUACAUCCCUGGAGGCAACUGCCCAUAUGUUUACCUUUAUUACCAACUGCAGUUUCCAGGCAUCUGCUAAAUUACAAUUUUGAGUGCUUAAUGGUGAUUUCAUUUGUGUAAAAAAAAAGCGGGGAGACUCUUUGCCCCUCAUUAACUUAGAAUGGCAUUGCACCACACCGUAGAGCUGGCAUAUAGGUAUAUUGAAAGAAGUGGGUAGAGCUAAGAGGAUUAGAAGCUUAUGUGUGCCGUGAGGAGAAGCUGAGACUCAGGUUAGCAUCUCACUGUAUUUCUGUGAGGAGGAGAUAUUGGUGCAAGAUCUCAAGCAGACAAGCAAAAUCCAUCCCUAUCCAACAACUCCUACCUAUUGAGCAAAUGAUUUAAAAAGUGGUUACUGUGCCAUCAGAAAAA